UACGUAGGGUGCGAGCGUUAAUCGGAAUUACUGGGCGUAAAGCGUGCGCAGGCGGUUUUGUAAGCCAGAUGUGAAAUCCCCGGGCUUAACCUGGGAAUGGCAUUUGGGACUGCAAGGCUUGAGUGCGGCAGAGGAGACUGGAAUUCCUGGUGUAGCAGUGAAAUGCGUAGAGAUCGAGCGGAACACCAGUGGCGAAGGCAGCUCGCUGGGACGUAACUGACGCUGAGACGCGAAAGCGUGGGGAGCAAACAGG
rnacentral:rRNA from 1 species